CAAUGAAAAGUCAUUUAAAAUAGAAAAAGAUGGAAAAAGCAAGGAAAGGAAAAGAAAGGUUGGGUAUAAUGCGCUACAGAGGAGGUCCAGAUAAAACCUGGGGAGAGAGGAGACCAGAGCAGUGGGAGGAAAUAUUUCUAAAAAUAUCCUGUAAAACUUGGGUUAAAAAGAGAAGUGGAUUCAUUUUAAUAUUUUUCAUUUAGACCCGUAGGGUCUAUGGUUUUUAAAAGAUGGAUCCACUUCCUCUCCGAUGCCCGACAUUGUUAUCCAUUACUGAGGCUGACAAACAGUUCAGCUGUGUUUUGGCAUAUUGAAAUCGACAAGAGAUAAAUAUACAUGUGCAUGUGUGUGAUUAUAUAUGCUGUAAUUAAGUGUUGUAGUAUCUAUUGUGUUACUAACUGUGAAUAGCAGUUAGCGAUAGCACAAUUGCCAUUAGCAUUGUUUUCGUAGCAUACUGUUAGCUUUGCAUGUGAAAUAAUUGAGACAAGCUACCGAUAAUUCGCCGUGAAAUAGUGGAUGGACCUGCUUGCUCGGUUAAUUUAUUUGAUUCAGGAGACGGACAUUUGUGAGUGUAAAAGAGAGAGGAUCGGGGAAACUCCUUUGGACCACACAGAGAGCGAUCUUCCGUCCUGCUGGUGUGAUGUAGACUGUCGCUGCUGUUUUCUGUUCUGCUGAUCUUCCUGCUGUGGUUUACCCGGUGCUCUGCCUGCUGCCAUCGCCAAGUUCGCCUUUUUCAUAUAUCCCCUUGACUGGGAUUCUGCUGAUCCAGUUCAACUUUUCCCGGGGAGGCUGCGGGGUCAUCCAUUGUUUUGAAAGGUGUCACUUGACUGUCAGCUCUCCAUCGCAGCCCUGCAUGGCAGUCAAUAAAAGAACCUCCUGAACCAUUCUUGCUUAACUCACCUCCACUGGACCUUGCACAUUUUUUUCCAUCUCAACAUCAAACAUAUUGAACGAUACUCUAAAAUGUAUAUAGAAAUUGCUUACUUACUUUUCCUGGCACAUUUAACAUUAACUUGUACGUAAUACAUCCUCAUACACUAGAGUAUCUCAUGAGUACAGAUGCCCAUCAAUACGCUGUUGCAGGAGAGGUAAAUGACACCAAGAUAUGGCAGUUGAAGAAAAACAAAUGUAGAGUAUGUGAUAACAGGACAUGCAAGUCAUCAAUUAUCAACAGUGUUAUUUUUGUGGUGGUUAAGUAUAGAUUGAUCACACAAGUAAGGUUAACUAGCAAGUUGUUCGUUAAGGGCUGACGGCUGGUUAACAUUACGGACAAAACCUAUUUGUUCCUCGUAUUCUCUUGUGUGUAUCACGUAUCCGUCUCCUCUAGCUGUUGUGGUUGAUAUGACGUAGGUCCCCUAGCUUUGACCAGACACAAAAAUGGUGACAGCAAAGCAAUGUGAUGUCACGUGGUCCUUAUAAAUAUAUACCAGAAACUAUGCACAAAGGACUACUUGCACCCUAGUGCUGCUGAAUUUUUGAUGUUAUUUAAUAAAUGUCAUGUUUUAUAUCUGUCA